rnacentral:lncRNA from 1 species
AUUUAUUAAGUUUUUACAUAUGAUGCAUAGAUCAUGAGUUAUAAUAUGCAUGAAGACUAGGGACUAAACUGUAAACUGGCAGUCUCUUGGAUAAAUAGGAAAAAUCGCUAUGCGAAAAAAAUACAAGUCCCGAGCCGAAUCUUAGGCGGCCCAACAAUGCAGGGGAGCUCGGGCUGCUCACAUUGGGCUUUUGAGGCUGGCUGGGUGAGGAGGCACUGGGCCUAGUGCGCGCUUGUGGCCCAAGAACACAGGAGGCCGACUUAGGGCGUCGCGGUCAACGCUCGACGGCGUGCGGGCUGCCGCAGUCACCUCAUCCCUGCUCGCGUGAAGCAGAGGCGCGGCGAGGCAACUUGAGCGGCUGGAGUCCGGAAGCGGCAGUGCAACGGCGGGAUCCGGCGGAAGAGACGAGUGGAUCCGGACGCAUGGCGGCGUUCUCCGGCGGGGUGGCGCGACCGAAGAGCUAAAGGAGGCGCCGCACGUCCUCUGUUCAAAAGAGAGCUUCAGAGCCAUGCCGCGGCGCAGGUCCUUGUAGUGGUGGCGCGAGGCAGGCUUGCCGGUCGCCGGAGUGUCCAGACGAGGAGCAGAGGCGCGACGUCCCGUCCCGCUCGAAGCAGGGGUAGCAGGGGCGGCGACAGGGGAUGGCGAGGCAGGGGACGCGUUUGGCGAUGCACUGACUUGGCGCGGACGAAGGCACGGCUCCGGGCGGUGCAGGUAGCAGACGAGGCGGAUCCGACUGGCCGGCGCCAGAUCCGGGCAACGGCGGCACGGUGGAGCUCAGGGGCGGCAUUGGGGACGAGUUCGAGGCCGGCCAUGGUGUCGGGCACCAUGCUCCUUGUUCCCUGCAGGCAGACGACGACGGGAGAGCGAGGUGAGCACGGGAAGAAGAAGAAAUAAAGAAAAGGGCAUGGGCGCGAGGGAGGAGGAAGGGCCUCGAUCCAAUCGGGAUUUGGGCUCAGGCUGCCUGCGGGUUCGUCCGGUGUUGACAACGAGCUGGAGCGGUGAUUUGGUUCGAUUGGAUGGAGGAGGAGACCGAGGAGAAGGGGAUCAGGGAGGAUCCCGAUGGAGAUUUGAUUUUUGGCGGCGGCGAGGAGGAAUGAUGGGACUGUUCCCCUAGAUUUUAGGGUUGGACUGAUACAUAUAUAGCAUGUGGAUUCUAGGGUAGGGGCUACCUCGUCCCUCCGAUCGAAAUCGGGCGGUCGAGAAAAAAUAUAUUAGGAAGUCCAAUUAACAAAACGGAGACAUUUUGUAGAUGUUUGGGGAUGAUCCGGACUCAUCGGUCACGACUGCUCGGGUCGGGUCCGGGACAAUUUUCGGACGCGCGCGAGAGGUCUAUUGGAACUUGUGGGUUGUGCAGAAGGGCUCGAGUUGAGAGAAGAGAAGAGAAGAGAGAGAGAGGCCCGGCGGCUGUUUCCGGAGACCGAAAACGUCCGACGUUUUGACCAGCUAUAUUGCCGCUAUAGUUAAACGUUGGGGCGUCAAACAAACUCCGAAUGCGAUGAAACUUGACAGGCGGUCUAUCUACACUAUAAUAAGACCACACGCCAAAUUUCAUACCAGUCCGAGAACAUUUCCGGCCACUUACAAAAUAAUAUUUCGGACGUGCCGCGGGCGCGUGCGAGUGUGGUUGGCCUCAGAACGGACAACAGACGGAACUGGGGGAACCCAGACGGGUGCAAGUUUUGAAAACAUGAUGAUGCAAUGCGAAUGAUGACAUGGCAAGAUGCAACACGCAAGCAAAUGACAAGGCAACAACAGGGAAUAACUGGAAGACACCUGGCGCAACGGCCUUGGGGCGUUACAACACUCCACCACUACGAGAGGAUCUCGUCCCGAGAUCUAGAAUGGCACCGGAGGGAAAAUGGAAGAGAAAAGAGAAGAGGUAAAACCAAGUUGCUUCUUUGACAAACGAGUGAAACCAAGGAACCUUGAAAAGGUUAAGCCAUUUCGAGAAAAGAAUACAACGGAGAUGAACGAAGUUGAAAGCACUCUGUUAGGAAAGAGGAACGAGGAAGAAAAAAGUCGAACAGCACUCCGGUUGGAAAGAUAUGCAAGGCUUGAUAAAAUGGAGAACUUGAGCAGCGGGCACACACUCCGGUUAAAAGGAUAAGCACGAAAAAAACACGGUCCUGACAAGAACAAGAAGAAGGGUAGAAGAGAGCAACAUCACAAAUGCCUCCAGAAGAAAAGAGAGAAUGGAAUGGAAUGAACGAAAGGAGAAAACAAUAUCUUCUACCUUACAUGAGCUUGCAAAAGCAUCUUGAAGAGACAGGUCGAAUGGAAUUGUUGGAAAACCAACAAUGAAAAAGGAUAAGCUUGAUAUGGUCUUAUGGAAUACAUCUCAAAUUAUGAGGUGACAACCUGCCACUCACGGGAAGAAGAAUUGAAUUGAUAUGGACAAGGAGACGAGAAAGUUAUUUCACCGGGAGGAUAGAUGAAGCACUAUGAUCAUAUACUAUCACCAUUAAUAGCAACAAUCCUUAGGGAAAGCUUUAGGUGAAAUAUAAUCCUAGAUGAUUCCAAUGGCGAGAUUGAUAGAUUUAAAAAUAUCUCAUUCUUAACAACAUGUGUAUCAUGGAACAUGAACUCAAAUUAUCAAGAAUGACAUAAUACCACCUCCAAUGAUACGGAAGAAAGAAUUGCACUCCGGAUUGCAAGAUGAAGAAACUUAAGCUCCUUAGAAAAGAAUCUCGAUGAACACUUCGAGAAGGAAUUAAAUCCUUGAUGAACCAUCAUGUAGAACCUUCAUGAAAAACUCCGGUAACAAAAGGAUAACGAGAAAAAAAAGAAGUUGAAAAACACAAGGUGAAUCCUUGCGAUGAUUUAAAUGGAGCUUCGCGACAAGACAAAGUGGAAACUUGGUACCCCGGAAAAGAAAGAUGAGCAAAAGAAACCAAGAAUUUUUCAAAGAACCUCUGGAAUAAGGAAUUGAACCACUUGGAAGAAACAAGAAUAAUAAUUACAUUAUGCUUAUCCUUCACCAAUUCAAAUUGAUGACAAGCAAUGGAAUUGGCAUACUACUUAUUCUCGUGGAGAGGAUUAAAGAGAGGCAUAACUUAAGCUUGAGAAGGUCUUCAACGAUCCACCGGUAGAAUUUGGAAAACCCGAAUGCACUUAUAUGAUAAACGAAGGAAGAAGAAACUUGGAAGAACCACCGUAAGAAUUGAACAUGAAAAUAGCAAGAGCACAAAUUCACCGGGAAGAAUUGGAAAACGAAAGAAGAUACUUGAAGGAAUUUAGAUACGAGAAAACGAAUAGAUCACGAGCUGAUUAGAGGAUAUUUGAGCGAUGCACCAGUAAGAUUGGAGAAUGAUAACUGAAAGCUGAGAAUGAAUAAACCUGAAAUGAUGGACUCCGGAUAAUCAAACUGAGAAGACUCUUGAAUAGCUCCGGAUGGGUGAAAAGAAUUCUCACAACAAUAAAAAAACAAUUAUGAGAGGAUGGCCGAGAAUGGGGCAAGAUUUAAAAGAAACUCUUCUUCGGUCUUCAAAUGUUGAUUAUGACGAUGAGAAGCGCCACCAAGAAUUGUUGAGGCACUCCAGAAGAAUCAAAAGCAAAGAGAUUGAGCCAACAAUGAGAAGAAUUUGACAGAUCUUGGAGAAAUACAUUUGACUGAUGAUAACUCAUUCUUACGUCAAACUUCGAAAAUAAUUUGAGAGUAACGCCGGGAAAAUAAGAAGAGUCAGGUAAGAUCCUGGGAAAAGAUCUGUGGGUUAGGGCCCACUCAAAAGAUACACCGUUGAACGAUUUAAAAGAGAGAAUGCACCGGUAAGAUUAAAUGACUAGAUGAGAUAACAACCUCGAAAUAGGUUGAACUGAUCUUGAAUGACAAGGCGAGCCUUUUGAGAUAGCUUGAGCACGCCGGAACAAUAAAUAGCGAGAAGUGGAAUGAUAAUAAAGUGCACCGGCAAGAGAAAGCAUUUGAACCGAGGAAAGGAUAUGAUCGACAAAGCUUGAAUUUGGUCCACCUGAGAAGAUAAAAGAACAAGGAAUGAUAAACUUGAGGCUCCGUUAGAAUCUUCCCGAGAAUCUCCGGGUAAGAGCAUUGACGGAAAAGGAAUGGAGAGUCUUCACAAGAAUAUAAAGGCUACUUGAUUAAGACAUCUGAUUUCUUGAAGAAAAGGGGUGGGUGGGCGGGAUAAACAAAGGCAACUUGGGCACGGAUGAAGCAAACACCGUUGAGAAGAACUGUAAUUGAAUCUUGUGGAUGUUGAAAAGAUCGGAUCCACUUGAAGAGAAACACACCGGUUGAAAAGGUUUGACAUGACAGACUCGAUGAUCGAGAAGGAUUAGUAUUCACAUCGGAGUAUGAGAACACCGCUUAGGAACAGGUAUGGAAUCAACAUUUGACUUCGAAGCAACUCGAAUACCACAGCUCAGAACAAAACAAAGGAUUGGCUUGCAGAAUAAGCUGGAACAAACAUAUGAUAGAGAUUUUGUCCAAAGUUUUCGUGGUGGGGCCUACACGGGCUCGAUCGUACAACACCAUCAUGUACAAGGCAGUGCACAUGACAUACGAAGCGUCCCCGAGUCGGCAUAGCCAAGGACUCUUUAAGACACAAUGAGACCACUGUAAAACCAACCGUGGAUAGGCGGAACACUAGACGUCGAACCCCAAUUUCAUAUCAUACAUCUGUCGGAAAGAUAUCCUAAGAGCUACUUGUAUUCCCACUUAUAAACUCCCGAAAUUUUCCGGUUAUGCAAUCAGGUGUUGGGGAUACAGGGGAAGCAUAAUAUCUCACCCAAAACUAGCAAAUCCUACAUCCAGCUGUAUCCAUCCUUCAACACAUAACCAAGAAACCUUCGGGAAUCAUUUACCUCAACCUUCGAAAAGCAUCCGUUAUACGAGUUAUGGCAAUACUCCCGAACUCCCGCCCCAGUACUGGGUGGCAUCGAGGUUAUCUCACCAACAACUGCAUAAAAGAGAUUUUCGAUGUCGGCGAAACUAAUCUCAGGUAUUCCAGAACUGCAAUGAUAAAAUUGUGACGACAACACCUCGGAGCUCAACUCCCCGGGACACUGCCACAACCCCUAAAUGACAGGAAGCACCAAGAACAAUGUUCUCGUCACAAAACCAUCAGAACGAUUCCAAGAUACCCGCAUGAUCCUAAAUUUUUUUAGUGAAAUUUGAGAAGAGAAGAGUCAAAACUCUACAUCAAUAUGCCUCACCAGAGCGAUGAAGGGACUGGGGAGUAAAAAGAAUUCCUAAACUCUCCGAUAUAUAAUUCCUAAAUGACUCAAAACAUUUUUCUAGACUCAACAACGGUUGCUAAUAACGAUCAAGCAGUGGGGGCUCCUAAGGUCGGGGAAGGCUCUGAUACCAACUUGUAACGCCCUCGAUGCGGCUAUAUCUCCCACGUGUCGAAGCACAACUUAGAGGCAUAACCGCAAUGAAAGCAAUGUCACAAGUGAGGUAAUCUUCACACAACCCAUGUAAUACAUAAGGGAAAGAGAUACAUAGUUGGCUUACAAUCGCCACUUCACACAAUUACAUGAAUAAAGCAUUACAUCAUCCAAAUACAAUCAAGGUUCGACUACGAAACCAAAAUAAAAGAAGACUACCACAAAUGCUACACAGAUCCCAAUCGACCCGACUGGGCUCCACUACUGAUCAACUAGAACGAAACAACACAAAGGACAAGAUCUUCAUCGAGCUCCUCCUUGAGCUUGGUUGUGUCACCUACUCGGUUCAACGACACCUGCAAACUGGUUUUGGAAGUAUAUGUGAGUCACGGGGACUAAUCAAACUCACACCCUCGUGAUCAAGACUAUUUAAGCUUAUAGGAAAGGCAAAGGUAUGAUGUGGAGCUGCAGCAAGCGACUAGCAUAUAUGGUGGCUAACAUAUUCGCAAAAGAGAGCGAGAAGAGAAGGCAAAAGCACGGUCGAACAACUAUGAUCAAGAAGUGAUCCUAGAACAACCUACGUCAAACAUAACUCCAACACCGUGUUCACUUCCCGGACUCCGCCGGAAAGAGACCAUCACGGUUACACACGCGGUUGAUUCAUUUUAAUUAAGGUCAACUUCAGGUUCUCUACAACCAGACGUUAACAAAUUCCCAUCUGCCUAUAACCGCGGGCACGGCUUUCAAAAGUUCAAAUCCCUGCAGGGGAGUCCCAACUUAGCCCAUGACAAGCUCUCACGGUCAACGAAGGAUGUACCUUCUCCCGAGACAUUCCGAUCAGACUCGGUAUCCCGGUUCUACAAGACAAUUUCGACAAGCUAAAACAAAUCCAGCAACACCGCUCGAAUGUGCCGACAAAUCCCGAUAGGAGCUGCACAUAUCUCGUUCUCAGGGCACACUCAGAUGAGCAAUCCGUACAACUAAAACCAAACCUCGAGUUUCCCCGAGGGGGCGCUGCACAGGGCUCUAGUUUGGACCAACACUCAGAGGAGCACUGGCCCGGGGGGGGGGGGGGUUAAAAUAAUGAUGACCCUUGAGUCUGCAGAACCCAAGGGAAAGAAAAGGCUAGGUGGCGAAUGGUAAAACCAAUGUUGGGCAUUGCUGGAGGAGUUUUAUUCAAGGCGAACUGUCAAGGGGUUCCCAUUAUUACACAACCGCGUAAGGAACGCAAAAUCCGGGAACAUAACACCGAUAUGAUGGAAACUAGGGCGGCAAGAGUGGAACAAAACACCAGGCAUGAGGUCGAGCCUUCCACCCUUUACCAAGUAUAUAGAUGCAUUAAUUAAAUAAGAGAUAUUGUGAUAUCCCAACAAGUAAACAUGUCCCAACAAGGAACAACAUCUCCAUGUCCCAACAAGUAACAAACUUCAAUCUUCACCUGCAACUAACAACGCUAUAAGAAGGGCUGAGCAAAGUGGUAACAUAGCCAAACAACGGUUUGCUAGGACAAGGUGGGUUAGAGGCUUGGUUUAACAAUAUGGGAGGCAUGAUAAGCAAGUGGUAGGUAUCGUAGCAUAGGCAUAGCAAAAGAGCGAGCAACUAGAAAGCAAAGAUAGAAGUGAUUUCGAGGGUAUGGUCAUCUUGCCUGAAAUCCCGCAAGGAAGAAGAACGAGUCCAUGAAGAAGACAAACGGACGUAGUCGAACAGGUCCUCACAACACGAGGUUAUCGGAACCAACCCGAAGAAGCAACACCGGAAAGAAGCACACAAAAAUAGUAAACAACCAUCACAUAAUCAUGGCAUGAUGCACAACCAAGUAUGAUGCAUGUCCGGUUUAAAGAGGCAUGGCAUGGCAUAAUGCACAAACAAUCCUACAAAUUAAGUGGAGCUCAAUAUGCAACGAGUUGCAUAUUGACGAAACACCACGACAAGUUAUUUAGUUCGAUCUCGUUUAUGUACCGAACAAUAUUAAUUGUUGUUAAACAUGGCCAGAGGGUGAAGCAAAGUAAAACUACCUAUCUAGUCAAGGUUAAAUGAGGCCGAAAGCAACGAACAACAAUUCCGGUAAAUCCCCAUAUGCAUAUUUAGGUUUGGUACUGUUCUGCCCUAAACCAUAUUUUAGGGUUGUUAAACAUGCAAAGUAAGGUCACCAUGUUAAACUAGGCAAGAUUCUACCCCAUUUACAUAUAAAGUUUGUUACAAACCGAGUUACGGUUAUUUAGUUAUGAAUUAAAGCAUGUUAGCAUGUUAUUUAAGCAAAUUAAAACAAACAACAUUUUAAACAUGCAAGAAAAUUGGAUAUUAUUAAUCUACACAAAAUUCUAAGCAAGUUUCAUUUAUUAAGUUUUUACAUAUGAUGCAUAGAUCAUGAGUUAUAAUAUGCAUGAAGACUAGGGACUAAACUGUAAACUGGCAGUCUCUUGGAUAAAUAGGAAAAAUCGCUAUGCGAAAAAAAUACAAGUCCCGGGCCGAAUCUUAGGCGGCCCAACAGUGCAGGGGAGCUCGGGCUGCUCACAUUGGGCUUUUGAGGCUGGCUGGGUGAGGAGGCACUGGGCCUACUGCGCGCUUGUGGCCCAAGAACACAGGAGGCCGACUUGGGGCGUCACGGUCAACGCUCGACGGCGUGCGGGCUGCCGCAGUCACCUCGUCCCUGCUCACGUGAAGCAGAGGCGCGGUGAGGCAACUUGAGCGGCUGGAGUCCGGAAGCGGCAGCGCAACGGCGGGAUCCGGUGGAAGAGACGAGUGGAUCCGGACGCAUGGAGGCGUUCUCCAGCGGGGUGGCGCGACCGACGGAGCUGAAGGAGGCGCCACACGUCCUCUAUUCAAAAGAGAGCUUCAGAGCCAUGGCGCGGCGCAGGUCCACAUAGUGGUGGCGCGAGGCAGGCUUGCCGGUCGCCGGAGUGUCCAGACGAGGAGCAGAGGCGCGACGUCCCGUCCCGCUCGAAGCAGGGGUAGCAGGGGCGGCGACAGGGGAUGGCAAGGCAGGGGACGCGUUUGGUGAUGCACUGACUUGGCGCGGACGAAGGCACGGCUCCGGGCGGUGCAGGUAGCAGACGAGGCAGAUCCGACUGGCCGGCGCCGGAUCCGGGCAACGGCGGCGCGGUGGAGCUCAGGGGCGGCGUUGGGGAUGAGAUCGAGGCCGGGCAUGGCAUCGGGCGCCGUGCUCCUUGUUCCCUGCAGGCACACGACGACGGGAGAGCAAGGUGAGCACGGGAAGAAGAAGAAAGGAAGAGAAAGGGCAUGGGCGCGAGGGAGGAGGAAGGGCCUCGAUCCAAUCGGGAUUUGGGCUCAGGCUGCCUGCGGGUUCGUCCGGUGUUGACAACGAGCUGGAGCGGUGAUUUGGUUC